GCCGAUGUAGCUCAGUGGUUAGAGCAGAGUCUUCAUAAGGCUAAGGUCGGAGGUUCAACUCCUCCCAUCGGCA
rnacentral:tRNA from 1 species